AUUGAACGCUAGCGGGAGGCUUUACACAUGCAAGUCGAACGAGUGGCGGACGGGUGAGUAAUGUAUCGGAACGUGCCCAGUAGCGGGGGAUAACUACUGGAAAGAGUGGCUAAUACCGCAUACUAUCGGAUCAGCCGAUAUGGGAUUAGCUAGUUGGUGGGGUAAAGGCUCACCCAGGCAACGAUCCGUAGCUGGUUUGAGAGGAGGACCAGCCACACUGGGACUGAGACACGGCCCAGACUCCUACGGGAGGCAGCAGUGGGGAAUAUUGGACAAUGGGCGAAACCCUGAUCCAGCCAUCCCGCGUGUAUGAGAAGGCCUUCGGGUUGUAAAGUACUUUCGGCAGAGAAGCGUUACCUGCAGAAUAAGCACCGGCUAACUACGUGCCAGCAGCCGCGGUAAUAC
rnacentral:rRNA from 1 species